AUGAGUUUGGACGAGAGGUUCACAAUAAUCAGGAGCAUCGGGCUGGAGAGCGCCGACGAGGACGAGCUCAGGGUGCUUCUGGAGAGGAAGGCCGCCCCUAUCUGCUACGUCUGGUGCGACCCCUCCCCAUGGGUACACAUCGCCCAGGGGAUCAUGAUGGUGUUCAACGUCAACAAGCUCAUCAAAGCCGGCUGCAGGGUCAAGAUCCUGAUGGCAGAUUGGUUUGCUCAUAUUCUCCGCAAAUCCGACGACCUAAGUAAGAUCCAGGCCAUCGGACGCUACAUGAUCGAGAUAUGGAAGGCGGCAGGCCUGGAUCUCGACGGGGUGGAGUUCGUGUGGCUGUCGGACGAAAUCAACGGCCCGGCCUCCGGCGAGUACUGGGCGCUUCUCAUGGACGUUGCCAGAAACAACACCUUGAGGAGGACGGUGAGGUGCUGCGGCCUCGCGGAACCGCCCGAACGGGGCGAUGUGGUGGGCGCGAGGGUCGUCCACACCUGCAUGCAGUGUGCGGCCGUGUUGUUCCAGAAGGCGGACAUAUGGCUGCUGUCCAUGGAUCAUGAGGAGGGCCAGCCGGAUGUCGGCACGCUCACCAGAGAGUACUGCAGAGACAUGAAAGGUGAAGAUCAUGGACCUAUUAUUCUGUCCCAUCAUAAGCUCCCCAAUUUGAUUUUGGACCAUGAACAUGCUAGGAUACAAGAUCCAAUGUUUGGCAUCUUCAUGGAAGACGAGGAGCGAGAUGUACCCGUGAAAAUAAGGCACGCUCACUGUCCUGCGGAAGUUGCAGAAGGCAACCCAUGCCUGGAGUACAUCAAACAUAUUGUGCUUCCAUGGUUUGGAUGCUUUGAGGUGCCUGGCAAGGAAGAGAACUGUAGUGGCACUAGCAGGACGUUUCAGAAGAUGGAGGAGCUUAUCGCUGAUUACGAAAGCGGCACUCUGCAUCCCACCGAGGUGAAGCUGGCCCUUACAAUGGCGCUAAACAAGAUUAUGAAUACUGUGCGUCGCCACUUCACCGACGACGGUAAAGCCAGAGAUCUGAAGCAAGCUAUGAAGGUGUACCACAGUAAUCAACCAGUGUUGUUUGCAUAA
rnacentral:rRNA from 1 species